CAGCACCUCAAGUGGUCAGGAUGAUUAUUGGGCCUAAAGCAUCCGUAGCCGGCUCUGUAAGUUUUCGGUUAAAUCUGUAUGCUCAACAUACAGGCUGCCGGGAAUACUGCAGAGCUAGGGAGUGGGAGAGGUAGACGGUACUCGGUAGGAAGGGGUAAAAUCCUUUGAUCUAUUGAUGACCACCUGUGGCGAAGGCGGUCUACCAGAACACGUCCGACGGUGAGGGAUGAAAGCUGGGGGAGCAAACCGGAUUAGAUACCCGAGUAGUCC
rnacentral:rRNA from 1 species